rnacentral:lncRNA from 1 species
UUUUGUCUUUUCAGGACAGCACCCACGGCAAUAUGGAGGUUCCCAGGCUAGGUAGGGGUCCAACUGGAGCUUUAGCCACCAGCCUACACCACAGCCACAGCAAUGCCAGAUCCAAGCCACAUCUGGGACCUACACCACAGCUCACGGCAACGUCGGAUCCUUAACCCACUGAGCAGGGCCAGGGAUCGAACCUGCAACCUCAUGGUUCCUAGUCAGAUUGGUUUCUGCUGUGCCACAACGGGAACUCCCAGUAGUUUGUUUUUGACUGGGUUAUUGAAGAGGAAUGACUGGUCUCGAAAACUCUAAACAAACCCUGCCCAAGAGUCAUAAAGUCCAGUUGAUACCACUUAAAGUUCCUUUGCAAGAAUUUCCAGGAAAGUUCUUUUUUGAAAUUGUGGCAUUUGUUAUUACGCAUGGUGCUCCAAACACCACUGAUUGAUGCGCAGAGAGUUAACAGUAAUCAGACUCUGCCCUAAACAGCUUCUAUUCUGUGGAAGAGACAACCCAUCCAUGACCCAUGCCCCAAAAAAAUUUGUACUAAAAUCUGUCUGGAAUGAAAAAUCAAGCCUUCAAAAAUAGAGCCAAUAAUAGUAAAACAUGCAAUAUUCUAAAGUUGGACUAUUGCUAUGGCCGCACCAAAUCUCUGCUAGUCAGAGGUAUUUUAGUUUAGGAUUUUUACCCACCUUCGAAGGGUAUUGACUUACUAGAAAAAAAUUUCACUGUGCCAGCUCACGGGUGAGUCCAAGAGAGGCCUUGGGGAUAGGGCUGCUAGAUUUAGCAAAUAAAAUGCAGGAUGCCCAUUAAGUUUGAAUUUCUCAGAAAUAAUGAAUAAUUUUUUGGUGUGCACAUUUCAAAGAAUAUUCAUAGUUUAUCUGAAAUUCAAAUUUAAUUGGGCUUCCUGUACUACUCAAGGAGGCAACCCCACUCAAGGAGGACAAAAAGGAGAACAGAUUAGAUAGUUAAUUUGCCCACCAAGACUCACUUAACUUCUUCAGGCUUAACCUGGCAUGUUUAUAGCUCUGGAAGGGACAGCCCUUUACACAAUGAGAUUCUGGUCUCUCAACCUUGUGUGAACCAAAAGUAGACAAGUUGGCAUCCUGGGAGCACAUACAUUAGCCUGCCAGCAGACUGGAUCUCCUGAAAAUUUUCAGUAGAACACACAGAGACUCUGAUGAGAGAACUAUGUGGAUGCUUGAAUUAAAUGAGUUCGAGUCAGGCUGGGAAGGCCUGUUAGGUAGAAAGUAGAAGGUGACAGGCAAAAGCAAAGAGGAGGUAGAGAGAAGCAUAGAAGAGAGACACUACAUGGUCAUUAAGAGAAAGGGCAAGAAAGCUCAGCUUCUGCUUGCCAAGUCCAGUCUCACUUACUCUGUACUUUAUAGGCCAGAUAGCUGUAAUACUGUCUGUCGUAUUCUUAUAAUAAAUUCCCCCUCUUUGGCUAGCUUGAAAGAGUUUCCACUCUUUGCCACCACUGAUCCUUGACUACGAAAUGGUAUGACCUCUUAAGGUCGGGACGAGAAUGACAAAUGGCUUUCAUCUCAGGUGAUCAGUCUGACCUAUUCACAUAAUUGUGCAGAG